GCACUUGGAGCCCAGGGCAGGGUUCACAGAGCUAUUUUCAGUUCUCUUGCAGGAUCUCCUUCCCAGCCUUCAGAAAUUGCCGGUCUGGGAGUUGGGGGCAAGGAGAAGAUCCUGCAACCCAGUGAUUCCAUGGAAAGCAGAAAGAAGGACAUAAAGAAACGGAUACUUGGUGACAUCUUUGACUCACUGGAUCAAACCUUGCCUGAAGCUCACAUUUCUGAAAUUUCCAGAUACAAGAACAAAUACUUCCUCUUUAUUGUUUUACUAGAUUUGAGACAAGCUUUAAGUUUCUCAGACUCUUCCUCUUCCUAACAGAUUUAUCAGAAGCUGAAAGCUCUGAUCUUGUUGGGAUGCGGAUCGUGUCAGGAGAAGGCUUACUUUGCACGCUUUUCUUAGUCUGGUUGCCUAACUCAAGAACCUCGGCAUGGCUCUGUUACUUCUCUACUCAGACAAGCAUCCCUGCAGACACUCACUAGGCUAACUCUGUCUUUAUUUUUAGAAUUAGACCUUUACGAGAAGCACAGUUUUGUCUUCAGUUUCCUCUCCCCCCACCCGGAAUGGCCUGAGCCGAAGCCAGCUCCCUCCGAGAAGUCAUUACCGCCUGACUUGCGUUUGAUAUUUAGACACCUUGGUCACAACAUCUUGCAUUCUCUCGGGAUGCUGAUUUCUAACUGCUCUUUGGCCUUUCCUGCAUUGGUCCUCCUCAGGCAGGGGAUCCCUGCUCUUCUAUAUUAGUGAGAAAACCAAGGCUCAGAGAAACUGUGGAUUUUCUAAGGAUGCUGGCUCCCCGUCCCCUGUCCACCAUGAGUCAAAGCAAUGUGAGUCCCUCACCAGAUGCAACUGCCCAGUCUUGGACUUUCCAGUGACCAGAAUCAUGAGCCAAAUAAACCUCUUUUCUUUAUG
rnacentral:lncRNA from 10 species